AGUGAACGCUGGCGGUAGGCCUAACACAUGCAAGUCGAACGGCAGCACAGUAAGAGCUUGCUCUUACGGGUGGCGAGUGGCGGACGGGUGAGGAAUACAUCGGAAUCUACUUUUUCGUGGGGGAUAGCGUAGGGAAACUUACGCUAAUACCGCAUACGACCUACGGGUGAAAGUAGGGGAUCUUCGGACCUUGCGCGAUUGAAUGAGCCGAUGUCGGAUUAGCUAGUUGGCGGGGUAAAGGCCCACCAAGGCGACGAUCCGUAGCUGGUCUGAGAGGAUGAUCAGCCACACUGGAACUGAGACACGGUCCAGACUCCUACGGGAGGCAGCAGUGGGGAAUAUUGGGCAAUGGGCGCAAGCCUGAUCCAGCCAUACCGUGUGGGUGAAGAAGGCCUUCGGGUUGUAAAGCCCUUUUGUUGGGAAAGAAAAGCAGCAGGUUAAUACCCCGCUGUUCUGACGGUACCCAAAGAAUAGGCACCGGCUAACUUCGUG
rnacentral:rRNA from 1 species